UACGUAGGUGGCAAGCGUUGUCCGGAUUUACUGGGCGUAAAGAGCGCGCAGGCGGUCGUUCAAGUCGCGUGUGAAAGCCCCCGGCUCAACUGGGGAGGGUCACGCGAUACUGAUCGACUCGAAGGCAGGAGAGGGUAGUGGAAUUCCCGGUGUAGUGGUGAAAUGCGUAGAUAUCAUGAGGAAUACCAGAGGCGAAGGCGGCUCCCUGGACAAUAGCUGACACUCAGGCACGAAAGCGUGGGGAGCAAAAGGG
rnacentral:rRNA from 1 species